rnacentral:rRNA from 1 species
AUUGAACGCUGGCGGCAGGCCUAACACAUGCAAGUCGAACGGUAACAGGAAGAAGCUUGCUUCUUUGCUGACGAGUGGCGGACGGGUGAGUAAUGUCUGGGAAACUGCCUGAUGGAGGGGGAUAACUACUGGAAACGGUAGCUAAUACCGCAUAACGUCGCAAGACCAAAGAGGGGGACCUUCGGGCCUCUUGCCAUCGGAUGUGCCCAGAUGGGAUUAGCUAGUAGGUGGGGUAACGGCUCACCUAGGCGACGAUCCCUAGCUGGUCUGAGAGGAUGACCAGCCACACUGGAACUGAGACACGGUCCAGACUCCUACGGGAGGCAGCAGUGGGGAAUAUUGCACAAUGGGCGCAAGCCUGAUGCAGCCAUGCCGCGUGUAUGAAGAAGGCCUUCGGGUUGUAAAGUACUUUCAGCGGGGAGGAAGGGAGUAAAGUUAAUACCUUUGCUCAUGGACGUUACCCGCAGAAGAAGCACCGGCGAACUCCGU